GAGGGACAGGUAAAGGACAGGAGAGGGACAGGAGAGGGACAGGAGAGGGCCAGGAGAGGGACAGGUAAAGGACAGGUAAAGGACAGGAGAGGGACAGGUAAAGGACAGGAGAGGGACAGGUAAAGGACAGGAGAGGGACAGGAGAGGGACAGGUAAAGGACAGGUAAAGGACAGGAGAGGGACAGGAGAGGGACAGGUAAAGGACAGGAGAGGGACAGGUAAAGGACAGGUAAAGGACAGGAGAGGGACAGGUAAAGGACAGGAGAGGGACAGGAGAGGGACAGGAGAGGGACAGGUAAAGGACAGGUAAAGGACAGGAGAGGGACAGGUAAAGGACAGGAGAGGGACAGGAGAGGGACAGGAGAGGGACAGGUAAAGGACAGGUAAAGGACAGGAGAGGGACAGGUAAAGGACAGGAGAGGGACAGGAGAGGGACAGGAGAGGGACAGGAGAGGGACAGGUAAAGGACAGGAGAGGGACAGGAGAGGGACAGGUAAAGGACAGGUAAAGGACAGGAGAGGGACAGGAGAGGGACAGGUAAAGGACAGGAGAGGGACAGGUAAAGGACAGGUAAAGGACAGGAGAGGGACAGGUAAAGGACAGGAGAGGGACAGGAGAGGGACAGGAGAGGGACAGGUAAAGGACAGGAGAGGGACAGGAGAGGGACAGGUAAAGGACAGGAGAGGGACAGGAGAGGGACAGGAGAGGGACAGGUAAAGGACAGGAGAGGGACAGGAGAGGGACAGGAGAGGGACAGGAGAGGGACAGGAGAGGGACAGGAGAGGGACAGGUAAAGGACAGGUAAAGGACAGGAGAGGGACAGGUAAAGGACAGGUAAAGGACAGGAGAGGGACAGGAGAGGGACAGGUAAAGGACAGGAGAGGGACAGGAGAGGGCCAGGAGAGGGACAGGUAAAGGACAGGUAAAGGACAGGAGAGGGACAGGAGAGGGACAGGAGAGGGACAGGUAAAGGACAGGAGAGGGACAGGUAAAGGACAGGAGAGGGACAGGAGAGGGACAGGAGAGGGACAGGUAAAGGACAGGUAAAGGACAGGAGAGGGACAGGAGAGGGACAGGUAAAGGACAGGAGAGGGACAGGAGAGGGACAGGAGAGGGCCAGGAGAGGGACAGGUAAAGGACAGGUAAAGGACAGGAGAGGGACAGGUAAAGGACAGGAGAGGGACAGGUAAAGGACAGGAGAGGGACAGGAGAGGGACAGGUAAAGGACAGGUAAAGGACAGGAGAGGGACAGGAGAGGGACAGGUAAAGGACAGGAGAGGGACAGGUAAAGGACAGGUAAAGGACAGGAGAGGGACAGGUAAAGGACAGGAGAGGGACAGGAGAGGGACAGGAGAGGGACAGGUAAAGGACAGGUAAAGGACAGGAGAGGGACAGGUAAAGGACAGGUAAAGGACAGGAGAGGGACAGGUAAAGGACAGGAGAGGGACAGGAGAGGGACAGGAGAGGGACAGGUAAAGGACAGGUAAAGGACAGGAGAGGGACAGGAGAGGGACAGGUAAAGGACAGGAGAGGGACAGGUAAAGGACAGGUAAAGGACAGGAGAGGGACAGGUAAAGGACAGGAGAGGGACAGGAGAGGGACAGGAGAGGGACAGGUAAAGGACAGGUAAAGGACAGGAGAGGGACAGGUAAAGGACAGGUAAAGGACAGGAGAGGGACAGGUAAAGGACAGGAGAGGGACAGGAGAGGGACAGGAGAGGGACAGGUAAAGGACAGGUAAAGGACAGGAGAGGGACAGGUAAAGGACAGGUAAAGGACAGGAGAGGGACAGGUAAAGGACAGGAGAGGGACAGGAGAGGGACAGGAGAGGGACAGGUAAAGGACAGGUAAAGGACAGGAGAGGGACAGGUAAAGGACAGGUAAAGGACAGGAGAGGGACAGGUAAAGGACAGGAGAGGGACAGGAGAGGGACAGGAGAGGGACAGGUAAAGGACAGGUAAAGGACAGGAGAGGGACAGGAGAGGGACAGGUAAAGGACAGGAGAGGGACAGGUAAAGGACAGGUAAAGGACAGGAGAGGGACAGGUAAAGGACAGGAGAGGGACAGGAGAGGGACAGGAGAGGGACAGGUAAAGGACAGGAGAGGGACAGGUAAAGGACAGGUAAAGGACAGGAGAGGGACAGGAGAGGGACAGGUAAAGGACAGGAGAGGGACAGGUAAAGGACAGGAGAGGGACAGGAGAGGGACAGGAGAGGGACAGGAGAGGGACAGGUAAAGGACAGGAGAGGGACAGGAGAGGGACAGGUAAAGGACAGGAGAGGGACAGGAGAGGGACAGGAGAGGGACAGGUAAAGGACAGGAGAGGGACAGGAGAGGGACAGGUAAAGGACAGGAGAGGGACAGGAGAGGGACAGGUAAAGGACAGGAGAGGGACAGGAGAGGGACAGGUAAAGGACAGGAGAGGGACAGGUAAAGGACAGGAGAGGGACAGGAGAGGGACAGGUAAAGGACAGGUAAAGGACAGGUAAAGGACAGGAGAGGGACAGGUGUCAUUAUAUUCCAGCAUUGAAUCCAAGCAAUUAAUUAUCGACUUAUUGAUCAACAUUCAUUAAUCAAUCAACCAAUCACAGCAGCUCUGACAUCAUUGAUUUCACACCUGUGCACUUCCUGUUUAAAAACACU